GACGGAGGGUGCAAGCGUUGUUCGGAUUGACUGGGCGUAAAGGGCGUGUAGGCGGUUGGUCAAGUCUGAUGUGAAAGCCCGGGGCUCAGCCCCGGAAGGGCAUCGGAAACUAGCCAGCUGGAGCGCGAUAGAGGAGGGUGGAAUUCCCAGUGUAGCGGUGAAAUGCGUAGAUACUGGGAGGAACACCGGUGGCGAAGGCGGCUACCUGGACCGGUUCUGACGCUGAUGCGCGAAAGCGUGGGUAGCAAACAGG
rnacentral:rRNA from 1 species